rnacentral:lncRNA from 1 species
GGAACCUGGAGAACCAGGGAGUAGAAUCAGUAGCUCUCUGAGGGACUUUACAUAAAGCUUACAUAUGAUUUUGUCGAAUUAUAUUUUAAAGUUCCUAGACUUCAUUCCAUUAAGUCAAAAUCAU